AGUGAACGCUGGCGGUAGGCCUAACACAUGCAAGUCGAACGGCAGCACAGUAAGAGCUUGCUGUUACGGGUGGCGAGUGGCGGACGGGGGAGGAAGACAUGGGAAUCUACUUUUUCGUGGGGGAUAACGUAGGGAAACUUACGCUGAUACCGCAUACGACCUACGUGUGAAAGCAGGGGAUCUUCUGACCUUGCGCGAUUGAAUGAGCCGAUGUCGGAUUAGCUAGUUGGCGGGGUAAAGGCCCAACAAGGCGACGAUCCGUAGCUGGUCUGAGAGGGAGAACCGCUAGCUUGGCAGUGAGACACGCUACAGACUCCGACGCGGGGACGCGGCGGGGACUCCUGGAGGAUGCGGGAAAGCGUGAUCCAGCCAUACCGGGUGAGUGCAGAAGGACCUCGGGUUCUAAAACCAUUUUGUUGGGAAAGAAAAGAAGCACGUUCAUCCCCGGCUGUUAUGACGGUACCCAAAGAAUAAGCCCCGGCUAACUUCGUG
rnacentral:rRNA from 1 species